rnacentral:rRNA from 1 species
AUUGAACGCUGGCGGCAGGCCUAACACAUGCAAGUCGAACGAGUGGCGGACGGGUGAGUAAUGUCUGGGAAACUGCCUGAUGGAGGGGGAUAACUACUGGAAACGGUCGCUAAUACCGCAUACCAUCAGAUGUGCCAAGAUGGGAUUAGCUUGUUGGUGGGGUAACGGCUCACCAGGGCGACGAUCCCUAGCUGGUCUGAGAGGCUGACCAGCCACACUGGAACGGAGACACGGUCCAGACUCCGACGGGAGGCAGCAGUGGGGAAUAUUGCACAAUGGGCGCAAGCCUGAUGCAGCCAUGCCGCGUGUAUGAAGAAGGCCUUCGGGUUUUAAAGUACUUUCAGCGGGGAGGCGUUACCCGCAGAAGAAGCACCGGCAAAGGAAGGGCCAGCCGCCGCGGUAAUAC